UGGGGAAUAUUGGACAAUGGGCGCAAGCCUGAUCCAGCAAUGCCGCGUGAAUGAUGAAGGCCUUAGGGUUGUAAAGUUCUUUCAGUGGGGAAGAUAGUGACGGUACCCACAGAAGAAGCUCCGGCUAACUCCGUGCCGGCAGCCGCGGUAAUACGGAGGGAGCUAGCGUUUUUCGGAAUUACUGGGCGUAAAGCGCGUGUAGGCGGUUAAUUAAGUUGGAAGUGAAAGCCCAGGGCUCAACCUUGGAACUGCUUCCAAAACUGGUUAACUAGAGAUUGGUAGAGGAUGGUGGAAUUCCUAGUGUAGAGGUGAAAUUCUUAGAUAUUAGGAGGAGCAUCAAUGGCGAAGGC
rnacentral:rRNA from 1 species